GAAUAUUUUUCUUCUUUCUAGCACUUUUAAGUUUACACGAAGCUUGCACGCCUACUGCUACUGUAAGUGUCGUAAUCUGUCCAAUGAGACAAGAGCCUGACGAGAUUCUCUCACUGGUGUCUGAGGAGACUGAGGCUCAGUCAGGUUUGCCCACUCAGCGAGGCAGGGAAGGAGCGGAGCUAAGGGUUCACACCUGUCAUCUCUGCGUCAUCGUCCUGUUCACACUUCCUGCUCUAUCUUCCAGAAACCUCUUCUAUUUGAUAGCCACCUCAAUGAAGUCAGGCUUGGGCACACACAGCUGCUCUGACCACCAUCACCAUGUGUCUACCAUGCAUAACACACUCAGUAAUUGUUUACCAGAUGUAUAAGUACUAUUAGCAUGAAGCAGAGAGGAAAAGCAAGACUAAUGUGCCUCAUUUUCUCAUAAAAACUUUCUUCUGAGGAGACAAAGACAUUCUCUUCAUCCAGCAUGCAAAAAUGUUCUUUGCAAGUUUCUGUGGCAUUCUCUUGGCUAAUGAGAUUGGAAGAUUGUGCCCACUGCUAGAAGCAUAUCUUAGGCUUUAAGUCUUAUUCUGCAAAUGAGGACUAACAGGGGCUCUCAUGGUCCUUGCUUAAUAAGACAUCUUCUAACAUUUGUACCAGAACCACAGACAACGCUUAUACAAUAAAACCUUUCAUUUACUAGGUGUUGCA
rnacentral:lncRNA from 1 species